CAAUAGCGUAUAUUAAAGUUGUUGCAGUUAAAAAGCUCGUAGUUGGAUUUGUGGCGUACGGUGUGUUCCGGGCACUUGUUGUCUGAGUAACCUGCUGUUGCCAUCCUUGGGUGGAACCUGUGUGGCAUUAGGUUGUCGUGCUGGGGAUGCCCAUCAUUUACUGUGAAAAAAUUAGAGUGUUCAAAGCAGGCUUAUGCCGUUGAAUAUAUUAGCAUGGAAUAAUGAGAUAGGACUUUUUUGCUAUUUUGUUGGUCUGCGCAAGAAGGUAAUGAUUAAUAGGGACAGUUGGGGGUAUUCGUAUUCCAUUGUCAGAGGUGAAAUUCUUGGAUUUUUGGAAGACGAACUACUGCGAAAGCAUUUACCAAGGAUGUUUUCAUUAA
rnacentral:rRNA from 1 species